GAUGAACGCUGGCUACAGGCUUAACACAUGCAAGUCGAGGGGAAACGACGGGGAAGCUUGCUUCCCCGGGCGUCGACCGGCGCACGGGUGAGUAACGCGUAUCCAACCUGCCUCUGACUGAGGGAUAACCCGUCGAAAGUCGACCUAAUACCUCAUGGUAUCGUCUGCGGGCAUCCAACGACGAUUAAAGAUUUCAUCGGUCAGGGAUGGGGAUGCGUCUGAUUAGCUUGUUGGCGGGGUAACGGCCCACCAAGGCUACGAUCAGUAGGGGUUCUGAGAGGAAGGUCCCCCACAUUGGAACUGAGACACGGUCCAAACUCCUACGGGAGGCAGCAGUGAGGAAUAUUGGUCAAUGGGCGAGAGCCUGAACCAGCCAAGUAGCGUGCAGGAAGACGGCCCUAUGGGUUGUAAACUGCUUUUAUGCGGGGAUAAAGUGAGGGACGUGUCCCUCAUUGCAGGUACCGCAUGAAUAAGGACCGGCUAAUUCCGUG
rnacentral:rRNA from 1 species